rnacentral:rRNA from 1 species
AUUGAACGCUGGCGGCAGGCCUAACACAUGCAAGUCGAACGCGUGGCGGACGGGUGCGUACUGUCUGGGAAACUGCCCGAUGGAUGGGGAUAACUACUGGAAACGGUAGCUAAUACCGCAUACCAUCCGAUUUGCCCAGAUGGGAUUAGCUAGUAGGUGGGGUAACGGCUCACCUAGGCGACGAUCCCUCGCUGGUCUGAGAGGAUGACCAGCCACACUGGAACUGAGACACGGUCCAGACUCCUACGGGAGGCAGCAGUGGGGAAUAUUGCACAAUGGGCGCAAGCCUGAUGCAGCCAUGCCGCGUGUAUGAAGAAGGCCUUCGGGUUGUAAAGUACUUUCAGCGAGGAGGCGGUACUCGCAGAAGAAGCACCGGCUAACUCCGUGCCAGCAGCCGCGGUAAUUC